rnacentral:lncRNA from 1 species
CUCGUUUACAGAAAAUAUUUGUUUGCACUAUUAGUUGGUACUGGAGUUAAUUACUCAAUGUGUUAACGUGAAGUAAUAUGUAUAAAAGUAGGAUCAGUGUUUAUUGUGUGGGUGAGCUGUUGAGCAGUGCUUGAAUAAACUGCAAUUAGGGUUAGAUAGAGAUUAAUUAACAUGUGAGUGGCAAGGUGUAAAAUAGUUUCCAACCCUCCACUUCAAUAUAAUCUGCGGGCGAGGGAAGAAGUUUGUGGAAGCUAAUUAAAUACUUUCAUAAAAGCCUGUGUAUUCACCCAACAUUUGGAAGGAGAGGCACAUUAGGGGCAACUUGUUUUUACCCAAAUGUUUGCUUUCUGUGGAGGUAGCACUCCUUUGUGAGGCGGGAGAGAGCGAUGGCUCCUGCAGCCACGCAAGCACUGGGGACGGCAAGGCAGGUUCACGGGAAGCCCUCAGAAGCCUUUCAGCCCGAUGCAGCUUUCGAACCAGCCCAUCUCUCAGCGGCUGCGGAGAUCGACAAUUAUUACCCAAUUUGGAAAACGGGUUGGGGUGCAGUGCUGGUGGCGGACAGGAUCCACAGGGAAGUCGGGCUCUGAGAGGCUGCGGUGUGGAUGAGUGUCGAGGUUGGGAAAAACACAAAACCCGGUUCCACGCGGUGCUUUAGUGGCUAAAAGUGAAAGAGCUGCCUUGGCAGAAUCAGCUCUAUGAAUCACUUCGGAAAAUUGGUUCGACUGAAUGGCCUUGGGAGGAAAACGUUUUAAUAGGAUCCAGGGGAGGCUCUGCCGCUUCAAUCUGCUCCUUAAACAGGUGGGGACUGGACCUCCUCAAUUACACCAACACGGGGUGUAAAAGACGACGCUCUCACGCGGAGGGGAGAUGCGUGCCAUGGAAAUGUGACGGACGCUGCAUGGCUCGGGACGCGGCUCCCCGGCGCGGGCGGACAGAGACCUAGAGACGACGGGCUGCGCCCCGCC